rnacentral:snRNA from 1 species
GUGCUUGCUUUGGCAGCACAUAUACUAAAAUUGGAACAGAUAAUGCAACAGAUAAUAGCAUGGCCCUAUGCAAGAUUGACACACAAAUUCAUGAAGCAUUCCAUAUUUUU